GUCAAAACCUCAAAAGGGAGUGCUCUGGAAGAGAUUCCUCAUAGAAAAGGAGGAGAAAGCCAUUCCACAUUAUUACAUGAAAACCCUCGAGCAAUGGUACAUAGGGUGGUUGUAGUAUUUCAAGUCAAUGUUAUUGUAGGCAGCCACAGUAAUAUUGACUGUUGAGUGUUGCAUUAUGCAUGUAAUAAUCCGAACUUUUUUAGACAAUCAAAACACAUUGUAUUUCAUUUUGGCCAGUUUCACCCAGCAGAAGUUGCUUGAUCUAGCUUCCAGGGGAUAACUGAGCAAGUAAAGUAAUUCUCAUUGAAAGCACCAGAGUACCAGUUUGCCUCUUCUUCAAUCCCACCUCCUGCCAUUAAUCCUCAGAAGUUUGUUGACCUAAAAUUUUUUUUUUUUUUUUUUUUGAGGAAAAUGGUUCCGUGACUAGAAUUCUAGUACUAAACUUUUGCACGUCGACUGAGAAGGAAUGUUGCAAAUUAGUGUAUAAGUCCACCAACUAGGUGAGUCUUAACUAUUAUUAUUUUUUUGGUUUUUUUUGGGUGACAAAAACCCCCUUCCUUGCCCAUACACACAGAGCAUCUAUUAAAGUCGUCAGAGCAUUUUUCUAGGACGUCAUUCUACCAACAACCUGUGCUUAUUUUAACGACUUCUUCUUUCAGGUGAAGAUGGUUCUGCACCAUCAAGCCCCUUCCUUCAGGAGGAUGUCAUGUCAAUGCUAGGUCUGGAAUUUGUCAAAGAGCAGGCAGAAGCUUCUCAACAGGAACCAGAACCCACGGUAUCUAUCUCCUCUGUUGUUCCUGAGGUAAAACCUGCUGCUGAUAAGAAGAAGAUCAAGCCGAAAUGGUUGAAAAUGUGACAUGGCUGGCUUCACUAGGCGAUAAUUUCUCUUCCUCUCCACGAAUCUGUUGUUGCUGGUUGUUCACUGACAUGUUAUGAUAGGCAGGCUAAAUGUUUUGCACUGGUCAUGUUUAUGGGAGCAUGAAAUUUGAGUCUCACAAAAUUGUUAACAAUUCGCUAUUCUGUCGAGGUGUUUGAGAUUUUAAGCUCUGUAAUAAAGCAACUUGUUAUUCAUCAUUGUUUCAUAAUGUGAAUAUUGUCAGAUAAAAUCUGUUUUGCAUACUUAUUUUAGAUAAAAAUUGUCAAAGGUCAUUAAAGAUGUAUGUUAUUCAGGAAAUUGACAUACUGUCCUACCAACCGUGAGUCAG
rnacentral:lncRNA from 1 species